rnacentral:rRNA from 1 species
AGCAGCCGCGGUAAUUCCAGCUCCAAUAGCGUAUAUUAAAGUUGUUGCAGUUAAAAAGCUCGUAGUUGAAUUUCGGGGUCAGUAGGUUGGUCGUGCCACUGGUAUGCACUGGUCUCACUGAUUCCUCCUUCCUGAUGAACCGUAAUGCCAUUAAUUUGGUGUUGCGGGGAAUCUGGACUGUUACUUUGAAAAAAUUAGAGUGUUUAAAGCAGGCUAACGCUUGAAUACAUUAGCAUGGAAUAAUGAAAUAGGACGAUCGAUCCUAUUUUGUUGGUUUCUAGGAUUGACGUAAUGAUUAAUAGGGAUAGUUGGGGGCAUUAGUAUUCAAUUGUCAGAGGUGAAAUUCUUGGAUUUAUUGAAGACUAACUACUGCGAAAGCAUUUGCCAAGGAUGUUUUCAUUAAUCAAGAACGAAAGUUAGGGGAUCGAAGACGAUCAGAUACCGUCGUAGUCUUAACCAUAAACUAUGCCGACUAGGGAUCGGAUGAUGUUAAUUUUUUAAUGACUCAUUCGGCGUCCG